UCCAAAUCCAGACACUCUUCAGCGUAAUUACUCGCCACAUGACUGUAUCCAACUAAAACACCAGACUCUGGAUUAGGAUGAACAUCUUGGUCAAGAAGCCUAGAUGUUUUUCCACUGUCCUGUGGAUGAGAAAGGUGUAUAAGACACAGCAUCUCCUUUGACAGUUAAAUUGAUAAACACACAAGAGGCAGGCACACCUCCUACAUGGAGGAGCUCCUUACAUAAAAGAACGCCACAGGAAGUCAGUCAUGCCUGUGGCCAUCAAGCUGUGCGGCCACUUCUUCAGAGUGUCACACACACUGUCUGGCCCUGGAUUUCUUACAAACUGUAAACGACUCCAUUAGAUAGAAUCUAUUUCAACAGUGCAGUAUGACUGUAAACCAGUGAACCACCUGCUUAACAACCAUAAAGUGCAAUACUGUGAAAAGGCUGGUCAACAGUGUCUUUCAUAGAGCUGUCUGUCUAACACCUCAUGUUGUAUUCCUACUGUUCAAUGCUGCAAACUGCAAACGUCUCUUCUUAAUGCUUGUUCAAUUCCCUGCACUUUCUGCACAAAGCUUGUUACACUCUGCACUUUCUAUUAAUUCACAGUUCUAUUAAUGUUCCUUUAUAUUCAUACUUUUGUAGAGCAAGUGUAAUAACUGAAGUAUUUCUGAGUCUAAUCUGUCACCUGGUCAACUGUUUGCUGUUAAGAAAUAUCAAACCAGUUCUGUUGAGAACCGACCAACAAGAAGCAAUUAUUUAGCACUUACUUUGAAGGCUAUUAAGUGAACUCCAACUGUCGAUGUUUAAGAAGGAGGAAGAUCAAAUUAGUGUCAAAUGACAGUUUUCUAUGAGGUGCCAGUGUAGUGAUGUGAGCGCUGUGUAAAACAACCUGCUUAUCAAUUAUGAUCCCAAAUCGUUUAGCCCCCUAAACUCACAUGAUUUCAGGUCAAACAACAACGAACAGGAUUUUUGGAGAAAGAAAGUUGGUCAAAGCUUGCAAAAUACUGACAGUCAUAUGUAUUUGUUUAACCAGAAGAUGCUUAGAGUUGCUUAAAUAUGAAGGUCUAGAACUAGUGGGAAAAGCAUUCUGACAGAACAUUUGUCAUUUCAAAGCUUUGCAUUUCUUUCAGAAAUAGGCUUACAUUCAGAAGAAAGUCAAUUACAGUGUUACAACCUGUUCUCUGAACUGCUAGAAUCCCGGUUAUCUGGCUGCCUGUGAAAUGUGUGAUAUAAAGCCGACAUGCUGCAGGAAAAUAACGUAUUGUGACUGUAGGUUCCCCCUGUGGGGUGAUUUUCUGUGAGCCAGCUCAGUAACACACAGUUUGAGGAGAUUUGUCUGUGCUGAUAGUGGUGGUAAAGCUGUUUUGACAGGUUCACACCUGAAAGGGGGAAAAACACCCAACACCCAGUUUGCAACUUUGUCCUCCAGUGUUUGUGCUCUGAAAACACAUCAUUCACCACUCUGUCAAAGCUUUUCCUCACAUCUUCAAUGUGCAUGUUUUAACCUUUGAAUUGAUGCUCCAUUUGUGUCAAUCUUACCCCUGUAAUACCCUACAUUAUCUCACUACUAAAUGUGGUUAAUUGCAUCAGCUAGCCUGUUUGCAGAGGACUGUUUGUCAAAUGUCAGGAGGGGAGUCAGCGUGCCAAAGCUGCUGUCGUGUUUAUCGAACAAUCUGUGUGUACUUCUGUCCAAUCAGACCAUCAUUUCAGCUCGACGGUGCACUGCAAAAAUAUCUAUACACUUACUCAACUAUAUCAUUCAUUUUUCAGAGAGGAGCCCGGAAUGUAAAUGGAGGCAUUCACCUUGAGGCUCACACACACAUACACACACACACACACUCACUCACUCACAGAUGGAGAGAUGGAUGGAGGGAUUGGAUUUAGUGAACAUGACCUUGUAGGUGUCGUUUCAUUAUUGAGACUGAAGGCUUCAGACCGGCAGACGUUCAGCUCGGCUGAUUCUGACGAUGAGAGCUAAAAGAUGUGAGCCUGGAUUUUCCCGAUUUACCCUCUGCAGCUCAGGAAACAGAGCACUGCAGGUCGAGACAGGACAGGAUAACCACUUUAGAGCUGAGCUGACCACAGGAGGGUUACACAUAACUAUUAUUUACUCUAUAUAUUAAUCUGAUAACUCUCUAAUUGAUGCUUUGUAGUAAAAUGUGGUGUUGAGGUACUUUAGACCAGCUUUGAGAGCAUUUUUUUUAACUUGUCUGGAAGUAGAUCGUAAGUUUAGUCUGUCUUGUCUCCCUGGAGGCCACGAUUUAAUUCAGCAUCAUGAAUCUGUAACAGUCCUACUCAAUCAGCCAAUCUCACAGAGUCUGAGACACCUAGAUUUCCUUACUCCUUCAUUUUAACAGGAUCCUGAGGAGAGAGAACAUGUUUUCAGUCUGGUGAAUAGCACAAAAAAGGAGUGUUCAUUACAGAUAGUUAAGAUGGUUUUGGGAAGUAUCUGUUUGUGUACUCAUUGAAAACAAACAUGUUUCCAUGUUUCUGCCACCCUUCAGCAGUGGUGUCGGAAAUUAAAAAGGCAGUGGAAUAAAAAGAGAGAUUAGAGAGAUUAGCAAAGUGGAAAGCUGUGAGAAGAGAGAUUUUCUGAAGAAUAGACAAAGCUAAAAGAAGAGUAAUGUUGAUAUUUUUGCUUAUAAAUCGCCUCUAUUGAAUGACACGUCAAAAACAAAAACUUCACCUUGCUAAAAUAAGACAUUGAAACAUGAAGAUAGAAACAUGCUGAACAUUUACGAGGCUCAAAUGAUAGUUUUUUCACAAAUUUCACAUUUUGGCUCACUUCGAACUGAGUCUUGUGAUUUUUUUCUCCUCUUUUGUAUUGGGAGUUUAAUUUGAGCCUCUCCAGACCAGCACAGACUGUGGGCCUCUUUGUUCACCUUCCCGUACAGUGUGAAUAUAUGUCUGUAUUUACUCAGAGUGGAGCAGUUAUCUUCCCAAGCCUGCAGAGUCAACGUCUGCACCAAUUACACGCUUUAUACAUUCAACAACCCUCCCUGAGAAUCACUCUCGCCCGGAGCGCUCCCAUAAACAAAGCAUAAUGUGGCUCCAUGCGUUUAACACAACAUGGUGCUGCAGCGGGCGAGGGAGCGGGCGGCGUUUUUACAUGGGCUGUCUGUACAGGGAAUUUAAUGAUGUUGUUGGUAUGAAAACAAACCAAACACACAAAUCAUGUGUGUGUGUGUGUGUGUGUGUGUGUGUGUGUGUGUGUGUGUGUGUGUGUGUGUGUGUGUGUGUGUGUGUGUGUGUGUGUGUGUGGAUAAUCAUGAUGAUUAUUGAUAUUGAGAUCAGGAUUAUUAAACAUGAUUACUCAUGAAUGGACAUCUGCAUCACAGGCUUUCACAGAACUUUAAAGCUCCUAAACUGAAACACUCUCAGCUCUUUCUAAUAAAAAAUAAAAAACACAAAAUGAACAUGAACAGGAAAAAAUAACUGUCAAUCUUUUUUUAACAGCCUAGAUCAGAACACUUGUCCUGUUUAUGCCGUCCCUUGGCUUUUCAGACACACCUGCCUCCUGCUGCUCCUCUCCCUGCUCUCCUCUCUCCUACUCCUCUCCCUGCUCUCCUACUCCUGCACUUCUCCUUGCUCUCCUCUCUCCUACUCCUCUCCCUGCUCUCCUACUCCUGCACUUCUCCCUGCUCUCCUCUCUCCUACUCCUCUCCCUGCUCUCCUACUCCUGCACUUCUCCCUGCUCUCCUCUUUCCUACUCCUCUCUCCUACUCCUCUCCCCGCUCUCCUCUUUCCUUCUCCUCUCCCGGCUCUCCUCUCUCCUCCUCAUACUCCUCUCCCUGCUCUCCUCUCUCCUACUCCCCUCCCAGCUCUCCUCUCUCCUUCUCCUCUCCCUGCUCUCCUACUCCUGCUCCUUUCCCUGCUCUCCUCUCUCCUCCUCAUACUACUCUCCCUGCUCUCCUCCUCCUACUCCUCUCCCUGCUCUCCUUUCUCCUCUCUCCUACUCCUCUCCCUGCUCUCCACUCUCCAACUGUGUGCUGUACGAUAGUUUGCACUGCUGUUGCACAACUUCCUUGUGAAACUUCCUCGUUCUCCCAAAC
rnacentral:lncRNA from 1 species